GCCCAGUUGGUUAAACAUCCAACUUUGGCUCGGGUCAUGAUCUCACGUUUCGUGGGUUCGAGCCCCACAUUGGGCU
rnacentral:tRNA from 1 species